rnacentral:tRNA from 1 species
CGCUUCUAUCGAGCUGUUUUAGAAACAUUCAGGGGCCAUCAUUGAUCGCCAGAUCGAGAUGAGCUCCAUUGGCGGGAUUUCGCCGUCUUCGUUUCUCUUUCUUCGCGGACGAACACGCUGCCUGCGGGCCUGGCGCUGUGCAACAAUCCAGCGCUCAAGGCGCAGGAGCGGGUGCAGACAGGCUCCUUGCAAGCGUUAGGGGCUUGUAGCUCAGUUGGUUAGAGCGCGCGCUUGAUAAGCGUGAGGUCGGAAGUUCAAGUCUUCCCAGGCCCACCAGCCUUCGCGCCUUGCGGCGCUUCGGCUCGGCAAGCCAGGAGACGCGCGAAGGCUGUCGCGCCGUAGCCCCUGCGGGGCGAAGGCGGACCGGUCGACGUGAACUUCGGCUUAAGACCAGAGCAUCGGCCACGCCAAUCGUCUCGACGAUUUCUGCUUCGCAUUCGUCUUUCCGGUUAUGGGGCCUUAGCUCAGCUGGGAGAGCGCGUGCUUUGCAAGCAUGAGGUCGUCGGUUCGAUCCCGACAGGCUCCACCAGCCUUCGCGCCUUCGGCGCUUCGGCUGGGCAGGCCAGCCGAUCGAGCCCGACAGGCUCGGCUCAGGAAGGUCGGAGAUGCGCGAAGGCUGCCGCGCCGAAGCUCGCAAGAGCGUAGGCGGGCUGUGCGCCAAGCCAACCAUAUUUCGUCCGCGAAACAUCGCUUUGCAGCCGUGCUCACUGAGCAUGCGCUGCGGGUUAUCUGACAUCGUGAAGAGGAGAUCGAUCCGAGUUGGGGUCGUGCAAUGAGGCGUCACCGCGCAAGCGGUCCGCGUCUCGACUUUGCACCGACGCCUUCAUUAUCUCCGGGUCAUUUCGGCGCGGGCCUUGCUGCUGUGAAGCAGGUUGGCCUGUUGUAAAUGACCCCUUUGAGCNAAGCUUGACCGCCUCGCUCUCGGUUCGAUCUUACGAAGCAAGCUGGGUCUUUUCUAAUCAAUGUCCGGGCGGCUGGGUUCUUGCAUC